rnacentral:rRNA from 1 species
UCGGGAAUCUUGCACAAUGGGCGAAAGCCUGAUGCAGCAACGCCGUGUGGGCGAGGAAGGUCUUCGGAUCGUAAAGCCCUGUUGUUGGGGACGAAGGGCGAAGGGUUAAUAGCCCCUAGCCUGACGGUACCCUUCGAGGAAGCCCCGGCUAACUACGUGCCAGCAGCCGCGGUAAUACGUAGGGGGCGAGCGUUGUCCGGAAUUAUUGGGCGUAAAGAGCGUGUAGGCGGCCCGGUAAGUCUGCCGUGAAAACCUGGGGCUCAACCCCGGGCGUGCGGUGGAUACUGCUGGGCUAGAGGAUGGUAGAGGCGAGUGGAAUUCCCGGUGUAGCGGUGAAAUGCGCAGAGAUCGGGAGGAACACCAGUAGCGAAAGCGGCUCUCUGGUCCGGAUCUGACGCUGAGGCGCGAAAGCGUGGGGAGCAAACAGGAUUAGAUACCCCCGUAGUCC